rnacentral:rRNA from 1 species
AAACUGGGUUUAAUACCGUAUACGCCCUUCGGGGGAAAGAAUUUCGGUGAGGGAUCGGCCCGCGUUAGAUUAGUUAGUUGGUGGGGUAAUGGCCUACCAAGACUACGAUCUAUAGCUGGUUUGAGAGGAUGAUCAGCAACACUGGGACUGAGACACGGCCCAGACUCCUACGGGAGGCAGCAGUGGGGAAUCUUAGACAAUGGGGGCAACCCUGAUCUAGCGAUGCCGCGUGAGUGAUGAAGGCCUUAGGGUCGUAAAGCUCUUUCGCCUGUGAUGAUAAUGACAGUAGCAGGUAAAGAAACCCCGGCUAACUCCGUGCCAGCAGCCGCGGUAAUACGGAGGGGGUUAGCGUUGUUCGGAAUUACUGGGCGUAAAGCGCACGUAGGCGGAUUAGUCAGUCAGAGGUGAAAUCCCAGGGCUCAACCCUGGAACUGCCUUUGAUACUGCUAGUCUUGAGUUCGAGAGAGGUAAGUGGAAUUCCGAGUGUAGAGGUGAAAUUCGUAGAUAUUCGGAGGAACACCAGUGGCGAAGGCGGCUUACUGGCUCGAUACUGACGCUGAGGUGCGAAAGUGUGGGGAGCAAACAGGAUUAGAUACCCUGGUAGUCCACACCGUAAACGAUGAAUGCCAGUCGUCGGGUAGCAUGCUAUUCGGUGACACACCUAACCGGAUUAAGCAUUCCGCCUGGGGGAGUAC